rnacentral:rRNA from 1 species
UACGGAGGGUGCAAGCGUUAUCCGGAAUCACUGGGUUUAAAGGGUGCGUAGGCGGUCAAGUAAGUCAGAGGUGAAAUGCCGUCGCUUAACGUCGGAAUUGCCUUUGAUACUGCUAGACUUGAAUAAGGAUGAGGUGGGCGGAAUGUGGCAUGCAGCGGUGGAAUGCAUAGAUAUGCCAUAGAACACCAAUUGCGAAGGCAGCUCACUGGACCGUGAUUGACGCUGAGGCACGAAAGCGUGGGGAGCAAACAGG